rnacentral:tRNA from 1 species
GGGGCAUUAGCUCAAUGGCAGAGCUGCGGACUUUUAAUCCGUAGGUUGUAGGUUCGAGUCCUACAUGCCCCA